GACCUGGUGGUGAAAGGCAUCACAUCCACAUUGCUCAGAACAUUGUUGAAAUACGUAUUUGUGGGAGUCCCUGGUUCGAGUCCAGGCCAGGUCA